rnacentral:rRNA from 1 species
AUUGAACGCUGGCGGCAGGCCUAACACAUGCAAGUCGAGCGGAUGAAGGGAGCUUGCUCCUGGAUUCAGCGGCGGACGGGUGAGUAAUGCCUAGGAAUCUGCCUGGUAGUGGGGGAUAACGUCCGGAAACGGGCGCUAAUACCGCAUACGUCCUGAGGGAGAAAGUGGGGGAUCUUCGGACCUCACGCUAUCAGAUGAGCCUAGGUCGGAUUAGCUAGUUGGUGGGGUAAAGGCCUACCAAGGCGACGAUCCGUAACUGGUCUGAGAGGAUGAUCAGUCACACUAGAACUGAGACACGGUCCAGACUCCUACGGGAGGCAGCAGUGGGGAAUAUUGGACCAUGGGCGAAAGCCUGAUCCAGCCAUGCCGCGUGAGUGAAGAAGGUCUUCGGAUUGUAAAGCACUUUAAGUUGGGAGGAAGGGCAGUAAGUUAAUACCUUGCUGUUUUGACGUUACCAACAGAAUAAGCACCGGCUAACUUCGUG